GAUGAACGCUGGCGGCGUGCCUAAUACAUGCAAGUCGAGCGAACAGACGCUGAGCUUGCUCCUCUCACGUUAGCGGCGGACGGGUGAGUCACACGUGGAACACCUACCUAUAUGACUGGGAUCACUUCGGGAAACCGGCUAUUAUCCCGGAUGAUCUCUUGCACCGCAGUGUUCAAUAGUGAGAUACGGUUUUGCUGGCUCUUAUCGCUGCUUAUGGGCCGCAUUAGCUAGUUGGUAAGGUAACGGCUUUCCACGGCAACGAUGCGUAGCCGACCUGUCAGGGUGGUCGGCCACACGAGAACUUGAACACGGUCCAGACUCCUGAGGGAGGCAGCAGUAGGGAAUGGGCCGCAAUGGGCGAAAGCCUGACGGAGCAACGCCGCGUGAGUGGUGAAAGUCUUCGGAGCGGAAAACUGGGUUAUGGGUGAAAAACAAAUGUGGAAGUAACUGUGCACGGCGUGACGGUAACUAAUCAGAAAGCCACGGCUAACUACGUG
rnacentral:rRNA from 1 species